GUGAACGCUGGCGGCGUGCUUAACACAUGCAAGUCGAACGAUGAAGCCCAGCUUGCUGGGUGGAUUAGUGGCGAACGGGUGAGUAACACGUGAGUAACCUGCCCUUAACUCUGGGAUAAGCCUGGGAAACUGGGUCUAAUACCGGAUAGGAGCGUCCACCGCAUGGUGGGUGUUGGAAAGAUUUAUCGGUUUUGGAUGGACUCGCGGCCUAUCAGCUUGUUGGUGAGGUAAUGACUCACCAAGGCGACGACGGGUAGCCGGCCUGAGAGGGUGACCGGCCACACUGGGACUGAGACACGGCCCAGACUCCUACGGGAGGCAGCAGUGGGGAAUAUUGCACAAUGGGCGCAAGCCUGAUGCAGCGACGCCGCGUGAGGGAUGACGGCCUUCGGGUUGUAAACCUCUUUCAGUAGGGAAGAAGCGAAAGUGACGGUACCUGCAGAAGAAGCACCGGCUAACUACGUG
rnacentral:rRNA from 1 species